GGCGGCUGUAGCCCACAUCUCCCGAGCGACCCCCGGCGCCCGCCCGCCGCGCGGAGGCCCGGGCCACACCUCACUGGCCGCUUGGCCCAUCCCAGUCAGCGCAGCGCCGAACCCCGUCCGCGCGCGCCGGGGAGCGGCGCCCCCGCCGCUGCCGCCGCGACCCUUGGCGCCUUCCCCUGCGCCGGGAGGCUGGAGUGCAGUGGCAAGAUCUCGGCUCACUGCAACCUCUACCUCCCGGGUUCAAGUGAUUCUUCUGCCUCAGCCUCCCAACCCCACUGCAGGCCCCACCAUGGCGCCGUUCCUGCGCAUCGCCUUCAACUCCUAUGAGCUGGGCUCCCUGCAGGCCGAGGACGAGGCGAACCAGCCCUUCUGUGCCGUGAAGAUGAAGGAGGCGCUCAGCACAG
rnacentral:sRNA from 1 species